rnacentral:tRNA from 1 species
GGCAGCUUAGCUUAACGGUAAAGCACUCACCCGGAGUCUUUGAAGGAUAUGGGUUCGAGUCCCAUGGCUGGUG